rnacentral:sRNA from 1 species
UGGUGCGAUGGGCACAUGCUCAAGUAAAGAGAUAUGAUCAUAACAAGAAUGAUAAGAUUCUUCCAAUCAGUCUCGAGCCAUCCUCAAGCACUGAGCCUACUCAGUCUAACCUAAGAGGACCUCAGCUUACAUCUCUCUGUUAACAUCUAUGCCUAAUGAGAGAAGGUUGCUUCCCUGUAACUUAUACAAAAUCAGUGACCAGCUGUGGCAUUAAUGGAAGGGGCCAGAAUGCAUCUCGUGUCACUGCAAAGAUAAAAGCCAUUGAAGCAAAACUGAAAAUGAUGGCAGAAAAUCCUGAUGCAGAGUAUCCAGCAGCGCCUGUUUAUUCCUACUUUAAGCCACCAGAUAAAAAAAGGACUACUCCAUAUUCUAGAACAGCAUGGAAAUCUCGAAGAUGAUGGUUGUGAAUUACUGUAGCAGCAAAAGCAAAUUGGUCUCCACACCUAAAAUCGUCAGCCUUUGUACUUUGUAGAUGUGAAUGGUACUAUUCAACAGAGCACAACCACAUGUUAGCAUUUGGUAACAUAAUGUUUUUGGAUAUUCUUAUGGAUGUUUCUUCCCUAAACUAUGUAUGGAAUUGAGCAUCAUCCAGAAUAAAUAGGAUUGUAUCCC